GAACUGCGAUAAGUAGUGUGAAUUGCAGAAUUCAGUGAAUCAUCAAACCCUUGAACGCAAAUGGCACCCUGUGGCAACGCAGGGCACGGCUGUUUGAGCCUCGGUAUUCAACCUCGUACCCAAACACCAUGUGUGUUAGGGUUGCGGAUCGUGGGGAUUGUGACAGCACAUUCCCUGAAAUGCAGCUGCCUGCAGCAGUGGGAUCAGGACCAAAAGCCGAUCCAAACAACCAGUUCAUGAUGGCACACGCCUCUCUUAGCUGGCUUGGAUUGUCCUGCGGCCCCCCUUGCGACAACCAUGGCAUGAUGUGUAGUUCCCCUUUACCGGGGCAAUGCACCCAUUUCAAACUUCGAGCUCAAAUCAGGCGAGAUUACCCGCUGAAUUUAA
rnacentral:misc_RNA from 1 species